rnacentral:lncRNA from 1 species
CAAACUACCAGAGGGGAGGUUUAGAUUGGAGCCCGUUUCCGUGCUCUGACCGGAGAAAGAGGCAGCACUGCUCGGCUCUGACGGCAGCUCCAGGGUGCGGGGCAGGGCUGCUGUGAGGCGAGCCAGCAGCCCGCGGAGAAAGGCGGGUUUGGGGCUGACAAAAGCAGCCGGGUGCGACCCCCGCGCACGGCACUGAGGGGUGUUACAAUGAUGCACACGCCGCCCAGAAAUGCCGACUUGUUUAGGACAGCUAAACGCCAGAGGCUGGUCCCUCACAUAACGUCGGCUGUCUCACUGUGACCAGAUGAGAAACUUGUGAAGUACACAGCGCACCGCGGGCGGAUGAGCGCAGACCCGCGCCC